ensembl:lncRNA
CCCCCCAUACCCUCACCCCCCGCCCCCAACUUCACAAAGAGGACGAGCGCAGCCCCCCCAAGCCCGCGGCCUCCACCCACCUUUCCCCUCGACGCCGGGCCCGUAGACCUUGACGCCGGCCGUGUCGAGGGCGGGCUCGACGCGCACCUUGCUGGGGAAGUGGGGCACGGGCUGCCCGCCGUACUCCACCGUGAUGGUGUAGACGCCGGGGCUGAGCGGCGUGUAGGCGAUGGUGUAGGUGCCGUCGCCGUUGUCCUCCACCCGCACCUCGGCCCUCGCCCCGGCCUCCGAGGCGAUGCCGAUGGUCAGCUCGGCGCUGCCGGCGCGGCUGCAGUCCACGCGGAAGUGGCCGGGCUGCCCGGCCGUGCCGCCCUCCAGCCCGGGCCCCGAGCACGUCACCUUGGAGGGGUCGAAGGGGGCGCGGACGGGGGCGCCCACCUUGCCCUGGCCCCCGGCGCCCUUGGUCUUCACCGUGAACUCCUGGUCCUUGCCCACCUCCGGCUCUGGGGGGGGGGAAGGGGGGAAAAAAAAGUUUGGGGGGGUGAGCGGACCCCAAAAUGACCCCGCGGCACGCGGCUCUCGGCCCCGAAACACCCCGGAUCCGCCUCAGAAUAACCCACGGCUCUCGGCCCCGAAAGAACCCGAAUCUGUGUUAAAAUAACCCAUUUGUCAGCCCCAAAAAGACCCUGAAUCCACCCUGAAAUAACCCACAGCUGUCAGCCCCAAAAAGACCCCAAAUCCACCUUGAAAUAACGUGUGAACCCCCCAGAAGACCCCGAAUCCAUCCAGAAAUAACCCACAAGUCAGCCCCAAAAGACCCCGGAUCCAUCUGGAAAUAAUCUCGGCCCCAAAAGACCCCAAAUCCCCCUUGAAAUAAUCUGCGUGUUAGCCCCAAAAGACCCCAAAUCCACCUUAAAAUAACCCAUCUGUCAGCCCCAAAAAGACCCCGAAUCUAUCCUGAAAUAACCCACGGCUCUCGGACCCCAAAGAACCCGAAUCUGUCUUAAAAUAACCCAUUUGUCAGCCCCAAAAAGACCCUGAAUCCGCCCUGAAAUAACCCACAACUGUCAGCCCCAAAAAGACCCCGAAUCCGCCCUGAAAUAACCCACAGCUGUCAGCCCCAAAAAGACCCCGAAUCCGCCUUGAAAUAACCUGUGAGCCCCCAAAAGACCCCAAAUCCACCUCAAAAUAACCCGCAUCUGUCAGCCCCAAAAGAUUCCAAAUCUAUCCUGAACUAACCCACAGCUCUCGGCCCCCAAAGACCCCAAAUCCGCCAUAAAAUAACCUGUGAGCCCCAAAAGACCCCAAAUCCGCCUUAAAAUAAUUUCUGUGAACCCCAAAAGACCCCGAAUCCAUCCAGAAAUAACCCACAAGUCAGCCCCAAAAGACCCCGGAUCCAUCCGGAAAUAAUCUCGGCCAUAAAAGACCCCAAAUCUGCCUCGAAAUAACCCACGUUUAUUGACCCCCAAAAGACUCCGAAUCUGCCCUGAAAUAACUUCCGUGAACCCCAAAAAGAUCCCAAACCCCCCCCAAAAACCCUUUUCAAACCCCCC